CCGGCAUUGAGACAACGCCCAGGUCCCCCCUCCAGAUGGGGACUUGCCUCUUGUCACCAUGUCGCCUCCUCAUUCCUUGGACUGUUUGCCAGAAAGUCUUCUACACUUCCAUUUAGAUCAGUUUUGGAGGGACAGGGAAGAAUACUGGAGUGGGUUGCCAUUUCUCCAGGGGAUCUUCUCGACCCAGGGCUUGAACACGUGUCUCUUGAGUCUCCUCCAUUGGCAGGCGGAUUCUUAACCACUGGGCCACCAGGGAAGCAUAGACAGUGCACCAAUUGGAAAAGAUAACAUUCUUGUUUGGUGGCCAAUGCCCGAGAGUUUGAUCGCUGGGUCAGGAGGAUCCCCUGGAGAGGGAACUGGCAACCCACUCCAGUAUUCUUGCCUGGAAAAUUCCAAGGACAGAAGAGUCUGGUAGGCUACAGUCCAUGAGGUCACAGAGUCAGACAUGAUUUGAGCACAACUCUAAUGUUAUCAUUCAUUAUUGUGAUAGGCCAAUAAAGACAUGCACAACAUGUGAACACAUGUAAAGAGAAGUUUUUCCUUUAAAAAAUUUUCAUUAAUGAAAUUAAAAGGUAUUCAUUCAUUACCACUUUUCCUUUACUGGACUGGAUAUUUUUUUAUGUAUGUUAACAGUGUCUGUUGGUUAUUAUCCAUUAACUUUUAAGAAUGUUGCCACUGGCAAAUAAGAGCUGUGUUGUUCUCUUAGUAGUAAAAGGCCUUGGGUUUGGGUGACUCGCUGAGGGUGUCUGUACAUGUAGUGAUUUUGAAUAAAGACAGGAAAGAGAAUUUAUAUUAAUUCAAAUUUCAUAGUGUUUUUAGGAAAAUGGUCAGUGCAUUUCAAGAAUUAUAUAGAACUGUUUCCCCAUAUCUGAGCAAGCUGGGUAACACCCAUCAGUCAUGUUAAUGCCUAGUGUGGUUAUGAAUGUUUAAAGUUUUAUAUCUUGCCACAAUAAAUGUUCUGCAUUCAUGUUUUUUAAAACUGUAGUUCCUGCCUAAAGUAGAUUAACUGAACCCUCCUAAAUAAACACACAUGUGCUGUGUUCUGGUUUGGAUGUGGCUUAGAUAGGGUGUAUUUUAGAAAUGCUGAGUAAGCUAGUUCGCCCUAUUUUUUUCUGUUUCAUUUAAUUCUGGCUUUAUCAUUAAAAACAAUGAUUAUCUAGAAUAAAGGCUUUAAGGGUUAAAAAAAAAAACAGUGUGAUUAUAUAGCUGGUGUCCAAUAAAAGAAAAAAUUCACUCA
ensembl:lncRNA